AUUGAACGCUGGCGGCAUGCUUUACACAUGCAAGUCGAACGGUAACAGGGAGCUUGCUCCGCUGACGAGUGGCGAACGGGUGAGUAAUGCGUCGGAACGUGCCGAGUAGUGGGGGAUAACGCAUCGAAAGGUGUGCUAAUACCGCAUACGUACUGAGGUAGAAAGUGGGGGACCUUCGGGCCUCACGCUAUUCGAGCGGCCGACGUCGGAUUAGCUAGUUGGUGAGGUAAAGGCUCACCAAGGCGACGAUCAGUAGCGGGUCUGAGAGGAGGAUCCGCAACACUGGGACUGAGACACGGCGCAGACGCCUACGGGGGGCAGCAGUGGGGAAUAUUGCACAAGGGGGGAAGCCCUGAUGCAGCCAUGCCGCGUGUGUGAAGAAGGCCUUCGGGUUGUAAAGCACUUUCAGCGAGGAGGAAAGGUCAGUAGCUAAUAUCUGCUGGCUGUGACGUUACUCGCAGAAGAAGCACCGGCUAACUCCGUGCCAGCAGCCGCCGUAA
rnacentral:rRNA from 1 species